GUGGUCUCUAAGUAGGCCCAGCUUUGUUUGGUUCCUAGAGCAACUGAGCCUCAGAUAGACCUUUCCUUUCUGAAUAUUGUAAUAGUAUUAAAUGGGAAGCUCUAGGAGCAAACAAUAAUAGCAAGUGCAAGCUUCCAAUGUAAUGAUGUACAUUAUAUUUUAAUAUUUGGAUGAAGCUAAUGAUGUUUAAGCUUGCCAAAGUGGUAAGGCAUUUCACCAUAUGAAUGGAUUGUUUAUUCCCUACUGUUAUGUUAGGUACACAAGAGGUCAUCUUUUUCAGCAUUCAUUAACAUUAAUAUUAAAACUCUGAGUUCCUCUAAAAAAAAUCCCUAAUUGAAUGGAAAAGGUGCUUCGCAUUUCAAAAGAUCGUGUCAGGAACUGUAACUGGUCACGUUAUUCAUGAGUUUAGGAUUUUAUGAGCCAAAUAAUGAAAUUCCAAGCUCUUAUUAUGAGAGAAUACUAUUCUACAACCAUUUAGAGAUCAUGUCAUGGUUUUCCUAUAGCAUCAGCUCCUGAGACACUUUACACUAUUGACAGAAAUAUGAAAUGUUUCUUUGCAUAACAUAGACUAAGGGUAUUAUAACUUUUUUCCCCAUUUUAUUCAAGAAAGCAGUGGUGGAAUAUCUUUUUUUCCCCCCUGAAUAAUAUGCUCUGCAAUGCAAGUUUCAUCGUCUCCACACCUUGUUCGUGGCAUAACUGGGCACUAAAAAGAAGGUAAACUGCAGAUCAUUCAGACUAGUGACACUGACCACUCCAUACGGACAACUAUAGAAAUCUUUGUGAACACAUGGAUUUUGACCACUUACUAAAGAGAUGGAGCUCACAAAGGACCAAGAUAAACAGUAUUGACAAGGUGAAAAGUGACAUGGAAUCUGAAAAUUUCAGCUAUUUUGAAAGGAAUCCCAAGAAAGACCCUGAUCCUUGAUCAAGCUUGAAGAACUGUAACGUACCACUGAUCUAGACUUGACAUUCUUCUGUGAUACAAAUGGAAAAGGUGAAUGCAGUCAGUGUUUGUCACUUGUUUUCACAUAUCAUUGAUUCAGAGGCAGACUCAC
rnacentral:lncRNA from 1 species